CGCGUCGCUGUUGGUCGCAGUCUCGUCUCCUUUGCCCUCCUCCGCCUUCCCCUCGCCCACUGUCCUCCCAGCCAGCAGAGGGCGCUGUGGCUUGUUCCCGGCUGGCCGUGUCAGUCGGUAGGCCAGGCCCGAGGGCUUUGUCAACACGCAGUUGGGCAGGAGGGGCUUCCUCAGGGCGCUGGGAGGCGUGGAGCACCCCCCCAACCCCCCGGGCGUCCCGGCAGAGGUGCGCUCGUGAAAGCCCCCCUUGCCGAACUGCUGCAACCCCGACGUCCGGCCAUUGGUGAGGACCAGUGGGGGCCUGAGGAUGGGCGUGCGAAGCUGGGUGUUGGCCAGCGGCUUGGCCAGCUCCACCGCCCGGUUGAAGGAGAAGGAGCGGGUAAUGGGCUCGCUGGUGGGCGAGGGCAGCUGCUUGAAGUGGGUGAAGCUCUGCGAACGCACCAUGCUGUCCGAGGACGAGAGCGCCAGCGUCUUCAGGCUGUCGCUGGACUGGGACAGGCUGUCCCGGGAGCUGCUGCGGGGGGACAUGGAGCUGGCGCGGGGACGCAGCAGACCCGGAACCCUGUUGGACCCGGAGGACGAGCCCACACCGCCCGCCCCGUUCUGGGUCGGUUUGGGGCCGUUGCUCUGAGGGCUGGGCGGGUGGCUGGUGGGGGACUGCCGUGGCGUGGGUUUUGGACUCUGGUUCCUCUUGGAAGCUUGCUUGGGGAUGGCUUUGGGGCUGCUGAUGGUCACUGGGGUGCCGAAGCGGCGGGCCUUGGUGCAGGGAGUGGCAGGCUUCUUGAUCUCCCUUGGCCCCGGAGAGGCCUGAAGAGCCCCUCGGCCCUCGACUUUCUCCCCGGCCGCGGAGCCCUGCUCUGGGCUCUGGGGCGACACGGGACCCCCAUUCUCCUUCCUCCACUUCAGCGAGAAGGACGAGGCACGGACCAACCCGUUGGGCUUUCCAGGAGGUUCGCUCUUGCCCUCAGAGCCGGGUGUUACGUGGGCAGAGCCAUUGGCCACGGGUGCAGUGGUGCCACCCGACGGGCGGGCACCAAAUUUCGGCAGUCUGGACACCAUGGAGGGCUUGCUAGACGCCUUCUCUUCCAUCAGCUUUGA
rnacentral:lncRNA from 1 species